UACGGAGGGUGCAAGCGUUAUCCGGAUUCACUGGGUUUAAAGGGUGCGUAGGAGGGCAGGUAAGUCAGUGGUGAAAUCUCCAAGCUUAACUUGGAACUGCCGUUGAUACUAUCUGUCUUGAAUACCGUGGAGGUGAGCGGAAUAUGUCAUGUAGCGGUGAAAAUGCUUAGAUAUGACAUAGAACACCAAUUGCGAAGGCAGCUCGCUACACGAAUAUUGACUCUGAGGCACGAAAAGCGUGGGGGAUCAAAACAGGG
rnacentral:rRNA from 1 species